rnacentral:rRNA from 1 species
AUACGGAGGGUGCGAGCGUUAAUCGGAAUUACUGGGCGUAAAGCGUACGUAGGCGGUUGGUUAAGUUAGAUGUGAAAGCCCCGGGCUUAACCUGGGAACUGCAUUUGAUACUGGCAGACUAGAGUAUGAUAGAGGGGGGUAGAAUUCCUGGUGUAGCGGUGAAAUGCGUAGAUAUCAGGAGGAAUACCAGUGGCGAAGGCGGCCCCCUGGAUCAAUACUGACGCUGAGGUACGAAAGCGUGGGGAGCGAACAGGAUUAGAAACCCCAGUAGUCC